UACAGAGGUCCCAAGCGUUGUUCGGAUUCAUUGGGCGUAAAGGGUGCGUAGGCGGCGCGGUAAGUCGGGUGUGAAAUCUCGGGGGCUUAACUCCGAAACUGCAUUCGAUACUGCCGUGCUUGAGGACUGGAGAGGAGACUGGAAUUUACGGUGUAGCGGUGAAAUGCGUAGAGAUCGUAAGGAAGACCAGUGGCGAAGGCGAGUUUCUGGACAGUUACUGACGCUGAGGCACGAAGGCCAGGGGGAGCAAACGGG
rnacentral:rRNA from 1 species